AAUUAAAAAUCAAUUGUUCAGAGAACAAUUGAAGGUCUUUCCACCAAUAAGGAUCUAUUUUUAUAUGAAAAUAUUAAAAUUCAGUUGAAAAUGUCAGUUCGUAUGGCUUAAUGAUGUAUAAAUAUGAAUUUUGAGCAAAGGUCAAAAUCUAGAACGUCAAAUUUACUGAUGACCUUGACCUAUAUUUCAAGGUCAUAAACCAGGGACCCCAAAUAAAAAAGACCCUAGGUCUGUAAUAUGUAUAGUUAAUGAGUUAUAUCACUUUACGUUUAAUUCUUAAUAUAGGAGGGGCAAAAACUCCCAUUUUAUGUCUACACACCCUUUUAACCAAAAUAUAUAAGUUACGACAUGUCGCAACUAACAAUUUAGUAAAAAUAAUUUGUCGGUAUCUUAUAAGGUUAAUGAAAAUUAGUGAAAAUAGGCCAAAAUCAAAAUUUGGAAUAUGACCUUGACCUUUGACCUUUACCUAAUUUUCAUUUUUUUUGGACCAAUGAUCUCAAAACAAAAGACCCUAGGUCUCUAUCACUUAUGGUUUUCCAGUUUAAAAUACAUUUCAAAAUUUCAAAUACAAAAGGGGAACUAACUCUCAUAUGGAGUUUCUAUACGGCUUCGGUCAAAAUAAAACAGAACAUCCUGAGGAUGUAACGAGCAAUUUGGUAAAAUAAAUUUGUCGUAAUCUUUUAUGGUUGCGAAGGAGUAGUGGCCACAAGAAAAACAGUGUUUGGGGAGAUAACUCUUACAACGUAAAGUAUUUGGUUACGCAGUGGUUAGUUUUAAAAGUGCAUACGCUUUACGAUAUCAUAUUCCAAAUAUCUAAGCGACAUCUUUUGAAACAUCAAUACUACGCAAGAAAAGAAUUAGGCGGAAGAAUAAAAAAAAAAUAAUAAUAAUUAAAAACCAAUUGUUCAAAGAACAAUUGAAGGUCUUUCCACCAAUAAGGAUCUAUUUUGAUAUGAAAAUAUUAAAAUUCAGUUGAAAAUGUCAGUUCCUAUGGCUUAAUGAUGUAUAAAUAUGAAUUUUGAGCAAAGGUCAAAAUCUAGAACGUCAAAUUUACUGAUGACCUUGACCUAUAUUUCAAGGUCAUAAACCAGGGACCCCAAAUAAAAAGACCCUAGGUCUGUAAUAUGUAUAGUUAAUGAGUUAUAUAUCACUUUACGUUUAAUUCUUAAUAUAGGAGGGGCAAAAACUCCCAUUUUAUGUCUACACACCCUUUUAACCAAAAUAUAUAAGUUACGACAUGUCGCAACUAACAAUUUAGUAAAAAUAAUUUGUCGGUAUCUUAUAAGGUUAAUGAAAAUUAGUGAAAAUAGGCCAAAAUCAAAAUUUAGAAUAUGACCUUGACCUUUGACCUUUACCUAAUUUUCAUUUUUUUGGACCAAUGAUCUCAAAACAAAAGACCCUAGGUCUCUAUCACUUAUGGUUUUCCAGUUUAAAAUACAUUUCAAAAUUUCAACUACAAAAGGGGAACUAACUCUCAUAUGGAGUUUCUAUACGGCUUCGGUCAAAAUAAAACAGAACAUCCUGAGGAUGUAACGAGCAAUUUGGUAAAAUAAAUUUGUCGUAAUCUUUUAUGGUUGCGAAGGAGUAGUGGCCACAAGAAAACAGUGUUUGGGGAGAUAACUCUUACAACGUAAAGUAUUUGGUUACGCAGUGGUCAGUUUUAAAAGUGCAUACGCUUUACGAUAUUAUAUUCCAAAUAUCUAAGCGACAUCUUUUGAAACAUCAAUACUACGCAAGAAAAGAAUUAGGCGGAAGAAUAAAAAAAAAAUAAUAAUAAUAAUCAGAAGAAAUCCAAUAGGUCUU
rnacentral:lncRNA from 1 species